CACGUAGGCGGGUUCUUAAGUCAGGGGUGAAAUCCCGGAGCUCAACUCCGGAACUGCCUUUGAUACUGGGAAUCUUGAGUCCGGAAGAGGUGAGUGGAACUCCGAGUGUAGAGGUGAAAUUCGUAGAUAUUCGGAAGAACACCAGUGGCGAAGGCGGCUCACUGGUCCGGUACUGACGCUGAGGUGCGAAAGCGUGGGGAGCAAACA
rnacentral:rRNA from 1 species